UUGGGGGAAGAGGCCUUUGGGAGGAAGUUGGCCUCAUCCCUUCCUGUCCCAGGCUGCUGCUGCCACCUCAGGCUUGGACUCAGGAGCUUCUGGGAAGAAGAUGGCCAGUACCUUUCCUGCCUCUGGCUAAUGUUAGCUGCUGGCUUGGUCUCAGAGCUUUUGGAGUAAGUUGGCUGCACCUCUUCCUGCCUGUGGCUGUGGCUGCCCUCCACCAUAGGGGUGUCUUCUGCUGCACGCUGCUGGCCCCCCUGAGGGAGGGGCCCACUGCACUGCACCACACCCCAGCUUCUAUGUUCACUAGAAGCAUGCCUUGAGUGACUGAACUGGAUGGCUUCUACCGUUGCUGCUGCUGUUGUUUCUGCUGAUGCCCCCUCCUAGGAGAGAGGGAGAUUCCCUGCUGCACUACCUAACACCACACCUGCACUGUACUACUUCCUAAUUGACUGAAUGCUCCUGCCCUCCCCCAUGGCUACCUCACUGCAUAUGAUCCUGCUUUGUCUUCCUGCCUACUUCUCUGCUGCUAAACACCAGGCUGGAGGCCUGAGGGACUCUGGGACAGAUCUUCAACAAACAAAGCCCCUCCAGUGCUCCAGCCAUCUUUUACACCUGCCUCAGCAGCCUCCCCUGUGUGUUCUUGUCCUUGUGUGGUUUUGAACCCAAAGCGCCUCACUCAUCAGACAGAUUCCUUGCUGGUGUCCCUUGUGGUGCUGACAUGCUGGGCCUCACCUCAGAAAGAAAUCAUCAACCUCUGCAAACUUCUUUGAAUGAACCUGAUUUUGCAAGGUUUUACCCACUCUGGCCUAGACCAACGAAGAAUACAACUUCAAUGAGAGUCUACACAGUUAGCAAGCGUACUAAGUAUCUUGCACCAUCCAACCUGCAGGUUCUGUCAUUAACUUCUUAAUGCAAAUGCAAUCA